rnacentral:lncRNA from 1 species
GGGGCCCCACAGACCCCCUGACUUACAGUGAGUCUGUAGUCUCCAGACUAUCAAUGUCCUGGCCAGGCAGACACAGCCAGCAGAUAGCCACACUCCCGAAGACACACACACACACACACACACACACACACACACACACACACACACACAUACAGUCAUAGGUGCAUGCUUGUGCAUUGUACAUAGCAACACACACAAACAACAGACACACACUCACACAAACACUAGCAAAAGUAAACAAAUAUUGGGAACGGCAAACUGUCACAUCCAGAGAUCACCCUGGACAACAGGAAAUGAUGAUGGCGUAGGAACCGAAGAUGCUGAUUGGUGUGGAAGGGCUUUAGCCUGGCCUAUAAAACGGCUCCAGUGAAGUGGACAUGAAUAUCGAGAGGGAAAGAACAACACUCACAAUUUCAAAGCACUGGAAUUUCAUCAGUCGAGUUUGCCCCAAAGAGAAGAUGCUGAGCUGGAGCUGGCUGUUUCUCUGCUGCCUGCCUGUGGUCGCUCUUCCACUCCAAGAGGACGAGCCUGACACCCUCUCUCAGAGUCGGACAGAAUCCCAUGUUUGGCCCCGUAAGGCCAUUUUGCCUGGUGAAGCUCCACCACAGCAAAGUCAUUCAGGGGACGCUGUGGCCCCCAGGAGGACUGAGAGCUUCCCUGGAAGUAACACACCACUAGACCGCUUAUCCAUCAGCCCUGUGGACCCCAAGAGAAGCCGACAAAGGAGGAUAAAAGGAGGCCAGAAGAGAAGAAAUGGCCGAGUUGAUCAAGCACAGAACCCUCUCAACCAGGUCAGAAGCAGACAGUCUGGACAAGCAGACUUGAUCAGGAUUACUGAGAGUGACCCUGCUGACCAGACAAAGACUGGGAGCAGAACCUCCACUGACCAGCCCAAUGUCCGAGAUGGUCUGCCAGGAGACUCUGUUAAGACUGGAAUUAACACCCCCAGGAGCAGAAUCCACACAGGAUUUGGUAGUCCCAUUGACCGAAUUGGAAUCAGCCAGUUCCCAAGCAGAAAGGGUUAAAUAGUGAGGUUACUGCACUUAGUGGGCUAGUUUGUCAACUAUACACAGGCUUUCAUAUAAUUCUUCACCAUAGAACCGUUCUAACUCAUCAACUUCAAAAAUGAUAUAUGUACAACUGGACAGAUUAUUGAGUUGUUCUGUUUUUCAUAGAAAUUCACAGUGAGGAGAAGCAUACAGGAAAAUAACAUAUAACAAAGAGACGAAAGGUUUUGAGUAUUUGCCUUUGUAAAGACGUUGUAAAAGUAAAAGUAAAAGCACUGGUUUAUACGGAUGAAUGUGGCACUUAAUAAAAUUAAACGAAAAUAAAUUUCUCA